rnacentral:lncRNA from 1 species
ACCUCAAAAGAUUUAUUUUUUUCUAGAAUUAGUAUUUUAAAGAAAAAUUGUAAUAAAAAUAUAAAAACGCAAAAUCUCUUUUUUGGAUUUUUGAUUUAUAACACACUUUUUCAAAUACAAAAUAAGAAAUACAAUAAAAAAAACUCGACAAACUUACUAGAUUAUGACAGACUUCAACAUCCCUUAAAAGACUUGAUAUUACUAUACAUAAAACACGACAUAAAAAGAAAAACAUACUCAAAACAUAAAAAAAAAUAUAAAAAAAAUACAUAAAUAAAUCUCCUUAAGCAACUCCUACAUGAGUGAUCUUGACUGGAUGGUCCUAAGGCGUCUGUUAUGCCCAAACUUUGGUAAGUAGAUCCACACCUGUAUGAUAUAAUUAAGACCACAUAAAGUUAAAGACCUAGAAUACUAUGUGAGACAUGCAAGACAUGAUUAUGACUAUUUUUCUAAAAUAAACCUAUGUGACAACAAGUGGCUAAAAAUGCAAGAUUUAGCUAAGACUCCGCUUAGCCAAGAACCUAAACUCACUAGAAAGACCAGACACUAUGUGGGUUGCCUACGUAUCCCGCCCCGAGAGACGAGAAUCAGAUUCGCUUAGUUCGGGUAGAUCGAAUAUGGGCGAGAAUAAAAGAAAAAAAUACUGAUUUGAAGAAAAUAUAUAUUGUCUUUUUUUUCUAAAAAUGAUAAAACAUGUAAACUCUUUUUGGAUUUUAUUUUUCCUCUAUUUUCUGUUUUUUUUUUUGGAAAAAAAUUAUGGGAAAGUGCAAAAUCUUUUUGGAUUUUUUUUCAUUUUCAUUUUUUGGUCUUUUCUUGAAAAAUCGUGAAAGAAAAUUAUAACUUGGCCCUACUUGCUCUAUUGCACUUCACCCUCUUUUUCUCAUUUAUCUUCAAACCUCAUUGGUCUGCCAAAUGACCCUUCUACCCUUGAAAAUUGUAAAAUGUAGCACAUAGGAUGCUUCAGGAUGGUCUUUUAUUUUUGGGGUAUUCCUGUCCUAUAUGGACCCAACCCCUGUGUUGAGUCCCCAAAGUCAAAUGCACAUGAUGCAAACAAGCGUUCCUACUAGGGAUCUGGCAUGGGGCUGAGUUAUUCUAGGAUCAAAACCUGGGUAUGUUGUUCUAGACUUGUGUACCCGAGCGGACAACUCGAGCCGAGGGGGCUACGUACAGGGAACCAAAAGGGCAUCCGACUUUGUAACUUGUCCGAGCCUCUUCUUAAUUUAAGGUAUGACACUAACAGAAAAGGAGUCACGCCAGCGUGCACAUCCCCGAAUAUGAGAAGAUAAGGGUUACAUAGCAGUUUAUAUAUAGUUCAAGUAGUAUCAAAGCGGUAAAAAGCAAUAUUUAGCACAUUAGGCCUAAACAUAUAAUAAAACCAGAUAAUAAAUAAAAGCCAAAUAUAACAAUUAUUCUAAGCUCAAAUUCUUGAACCCUGAACCGGAGAUUCUAGGUUCUUGUCCCCAACAGAGUCGUCAAAGCUAUCACACCUCCUUUUUACUACACCGAAAAGGGGGUAUAAGGGAGUUUUUUCCAAUUUAAGUGACAAUCGAAAGGGGAUUAUUUAUUUAAAAUUCAGAGUCGCAACUUGGGAUGAUUUAUGGUGUCCCAAGUCAUCGGUUUUAACUCCCGAAUGAGGAAAGAUUGACUCUGUUUUACAAUCCACGAAAUACAGAAAUUUGGGUAAGGAAUUCUAUUAACCCGAGAGAAGGUGUUAGGCAUUCCCGGUUUCCGUGGCUUUAGCACAAUCGCUCACCUGUUAAUAUUGGCCUAUUUAUCUGAUUUUGAAACAUUUUUGAAACCUAUGUGCAUUUUACCCACUUUUAAUAAUCCACGCUUGUCAUACUGUUAUUUAUUUAAUACACAUUGCGAACCAUGUCAUGGGAACCGUACCCACGAUCUACAAUAUGUUAAUUUUAUUAACAAAAUUAAAUUUUGGCCGGGUCACCUAAAUGUACCCCCGGAUUUUAAAAAUUACGCAUCACAACUACGCCACGGGAACCAUACCCGUAGCUAUGACAAUUUAUUUAAUUAAACACGCCUAAAGCAAACUACGAAAGUUCAGGGCAUUUUUUACACUAGUUAAGAUAUCGAUGUGAGGGCCAUAGACUAGGUGAUUGGAUGGCACACCUCAAUUUUAUUUAAGGAAAAGCAUUCAACUAAGUGAACUAUGGAUAUUCAUAUUUAAAACUAAUUUAAAAUUAGAUAUCACAACUACGCCACGGGAAUUGUACCCGUAGUUGCGAUGAUUACUUACGUGACAAAAAGUUUGCUUACCCAAAUGUAGUUGGCCUAAGCAUAUUCCUAGCUGUUAAGUAAUAACAUAAGCAAAUGAAACAAUACUAAAUGAGAUCUCCUAUUUCUGAUUCAUUUCGUUUCCUGACAAACUUCUAAGUUAAUGGGGAAACACAAUCCAUACAAAGAAUGCCAAAAUCCUUGUCAUGGAAUGCUGAUCAAUGUAGAAACAAAUCAAUCAAGUGUGAAGUUAGCAAGAAUUCAUAUUGUCCUUAGACUUCAACUAAACUAUUGGCAUGUUUUAACAGAAAAGAAGAAGCCAUCCAAAUGUGAUCCUUAAUCAGCAUAGUAACAAGACUAACAUAUUCACUUGAAAGCCAACAACUUUUAUCACCAACUCGGCUAAACCGAACAAAAAAUUUGAAAUUGAAUUAUCACUUCGUCUCAAAUGCGAAUGAACUGCCUUUCUUUGAAUGAAAAAUCCUUUCUCACAAUCAAUUAAAAAAAAUUUCAGCACUCUCACAUGGUAUGAUUAGAGACGGAAACAAAGGACAAGAUGUUAUGUGUUUUCAAACAGAACUGGUAGAGUGAACCAACAGCUCCAAACUUUAUAUACUUGAAUUAACACUUCGCGAUUUCAUACUGACCAAGGACAAAGGCUCAAACUCCAACAGGUACAACAAAGUGGAGGCAGAAUGCUUAAGAAAAUGUCAACAUAACAACCAUUUAGCAUUCUAACAUAGAUAUCAUAUGCUUGUUCAAGACAAUGAACGUGCUCAAUCUACACAACAGCUUAAAGCAAACAGAACCAAAACAGAUACAUGAAUCUGAAUUUCAGCAAGUUAAACAGAGGCAGCUAUGAUAUAAAUGUCUAGUUUCCUACUUAAAAAACAAGUGAAAAAAAAAAUAAAUGGAACAAAUCGCGAAAGCUUGGUCGAGUGUAAAACAAACUUUGAGGCAGCAUUCAAACACAAUCACUUUCAAACUAUCUGUCAAGAACCUACAGAUUUGUAUCAAAUUGCAGAAUGGAAAAUUUCAGAACUUAAUUCACAUGUAAACUCAGCCAAACCAAAUAGAAAUAUUCAUGAAAAUUGCUAACAAUGACAUUACGACCACAAAUCUGUUAACAAUCACAAAAUCGGAACAUUAGGGAGAAAGGGUAUCAGGAAGGAACCUGAAAAUGAGCUUUCAAUUGAUGUUUGAAAUGAUUAGAGAAGGUACAAAGGAAUCUGGAUAUGCAAAUUCCAACAGCGAGCCAAUCCAAAACAUCAAGACGAGAUGUACUCCAACCGGAACGAUGAACUCGGACCUCAGACGACGAAUUAAUCAGCUCUGGACAAACUCCAUCUUUGAGACCAUAACUAAGAGACGAAACUGAAAUUUUGACUCGUUUUGGGUUGUCUAGAAGCAGGCGUCGUUAUUUGGUGUGUUCGACAUUUCUGUUCUAGCUGGUGGGGUUGGUUUCCUGCGAGUUUUAAGAGUUGGGUGUCUAGGUUGUUGAUGUUAAAGAAGAGGGAAAUAGCCUGGUUUUUGUCUUGGACAACAGGUGUUCUUGGGGGUGACAAAGAAGAUGGAAUUCAAAGGGGGGGUCUUGUGUGUAAUGGCUAUAGCUUUAGGGGUGAGGUUCNNN